rnacentral:tRNA from 1 species
GAUCCGUUAGCUCAGUUGGGAGAGCGCCACCUUGACAGGGUGGAGGUCGCAGGUUCAAGCCCUGCACGGGUCACCA